UAAGCCUUUAGCUAGCUAUAUUGCCAGAGUACGUUUAUAUAUUUGCACGUUGAUAAGACGUGUAGUGAACGGCCGUGAUGUCUAGCUAUUGGUGGGAUUGCUAGUAAAUUAGCAGUGCAUUUAGUCGCCUCAGCGCUGUUUCUAACCGUCGUCAUUUUUGUGAAUAGGUAUUCAAGUAUUCAGACGUUCCUGAGUACUGAUACAGAGCUCAUUCUCGAGGCAGCUAAUGAAGCACACAUGAAGGAUGGAACACUACUCAACAAUCUGUCUGUUGAAAUCAGACAUCCUGGAAAAUCUGUCUGAAAGGAUCUUGCGCACACUCAGAUUAGUCUGAACAUUCUCACUCUGCACAUGCUUUGGGAGAGGGUUCCCAAUAGCAUUCUGAAAUCCUUGAAGUCCUGUACGGGUGCAACACCAUCUAGGAAAGAAGAGUGAUCUGUGGCCUGAUCAUAUACCCCAGCGAGAGAGUUGAAGACCUUAUCACAGAAUACAAGGAUUCUGACAACACCAUGAUCCGAGAGGACCUCGUUCAGUGAUGUGAUGGUGUCAUGUGAUCAAGGAGCACUGUGAAGGAUCUGCAUCGAAGGAGCAGAGCUCCUGGCUGGUAUUCCCAGUCUUACACAGUCAUGUAACUUGCUUAUGGGCCUUAAAUUUAAGCCAUAGAUAAGGUACCCCAAAGAACUGAAGUAUACCUUUUGAGGUGGUCCAACAAGUAUUCUUUGAACUUGAUGAUCUUAGGACAUCCCUAUGGGUCCAAGCUCUAAAAAUGAAGUUACUUGUUUUCAGAGAUAUCUAAAGAUAUCUGAGAACUCUCAAAUGGCCACUCACAAACUGUGGUCUAAACCCUACUCAGUAAGCUGAAAAGCUAGGCGGUAUAGGAGCUACAGUUUACAUGAUGCUCUUUGUCAGGUGAAGUCAUAAGAGACAUUGUGAAUUCCUGUUUUAAAAAACUUUGUUAUAAAACUUACUCCAUAUGCACUAGUGGAUAUCUGAGUUUUUUUGUCAGGUGCAAGCUAUCUGGAUGUAACUUUACCUAAGGAGGCAAGGUAUAGUUAUACCCAGAAUGCUUAAAGAUGAUUGUCACGGCUGGCUGAAGGACUGGACCAAAGUGCAGCAUGGUA